rnacentral:lncRNA from 1 species
GGUAUUUCGGCUGAAGAAGUGAAUGGUAGAUGGUUAAACGGUCCGGUGUUUAUACAGUUACCCGAGGAGCAAUGGCCGAUGGAAACUGGCGUACCAGAAAGAAAGGAAGUUAACAAAGAAAGGAGACAAGUCAAGAUCGUAUGUCCUGUCGCUGUCAGCAAGCCGUUAUUCGACUGCAAACGGUUCUCGAAGUGGAAACGAGUAAUAAGGAUCACGAGUUACAUCCAGAGAUUUAUCCAGAAUUGUCGAAUCAAGUGUGGUCGAAAUGAGAGAAAUCAACAACCAGAAGUUGGUCCAUUAACCAAUCAAGAAUUGGAAAACGCGGAGGAGUACUGGCUAAAACAGAUGCAGUCAAAUCUCUUAAAGAGAUUACCUAGAGGCGAUUUCAAGACCCUGUCUCCAUAUAAGGACGAUAGAAAUAUCCUCAGGGUAGGAGGUCGUGUGGAUCCAACCUUAGUUUCCUACGAUGAAAGACGUCCCGCACUUUUACCAUAUGAUCACUAUCUGUCCACCUUAAUAGUCCGUGAUGCUCACGAAACAAGUCAUUCUGGUGUCGCCACGACAGUCGCCAAAAUACGUAGAAUGUAUUGGGUCAUCAAAGCUCAUAGGAUUGCGAAAGUCGUCAAGCAACGGUGCACAACAUGUCGAAAGCUCGAAGCGAAAGUUGAAACCCAGCUCAUGGCUAUCCUGCCACCAUUUCGUUUGCAGCCGUGCACCCCACCGUUUCUCUACUCAACGAUGGAUUACUUUGGACCAAUCAACGUAAAAGUAGGCAGAAACAAAACAGUUAAACAUUAUGGUGUAGUAUUCACGUGCAUGAAUACCAGAGCCAUCCAUUGCGAGAUUGCAGUUGAUGCCAGCACGAUGGAGCUCUUGCAAGUCUUAAGAAGGUUCUUUUCAUUCCGUGGUUAUCCGAAAGUGCUCUUAUCUGACAACGGAACGCAGAUGGUAGGAGCAAACAACGAAUUGAAGUUAAUGAUCGAAGGAUGGAACAAAGAUCAAUUGGAAGAAUUUUGCGCAGCCAGAGGAAUGAAAUGGCAAUUCAUCACACCAUUGGCACCGCAUCAAAAUGGAUGCUCUGAGGCGAUGGUAAAAAGUGUGAAGCUAGCAAUGAAGAGAGCAAUCGGCGACGCCCUUUUAACACCAUUCGAGCUAUACACGUGCGUUUUGGAAGCUGCGAAUUUGGUUAACCAACGGCCGAUUGGAAGAGUACCAACAGAUCCGGAUGAUGGCGGAUACCUAUGUCCAAACGAUAUACUAUUGGGCAGAGCUACGAACGCUGUGCCUCAAGGUCCGUUCCGAGAAACACAAAAUCCUCGCCACCGAUUCGAGUUUUGUCAGAGAAUUAUUGAUGCUUUUUGGAAGAAGUGGUCAAGAGACGUCCUACCGCUAUUAACCCCACGAAGAAAAUGGAAUACGCAAAGUCGUAAUGUAACGGUGAACGAUUAUGUUAUAGUGUCCGAGCCAAACGCAGUAAGGGGAAAGUGGAACACCGGAAAGAUCGUGGAAGUCUAUCAGGGAGAGGACGGGUUGGUCAGGAAUGUGAAGGUGAAAACUGCUACGGGAACCUACAGCCGACCUAUCAACAAGAUAUGCGUAAUUUAUCCAGCAGAAGGCUACGAAGAGGAGUGAAUGGGAGUUCUCCCAUUGUCGGGGGGAGUGUUUCAUUGACGAUGAAAGGACUUCAUGUAAGACUAUUUUAAUGUUUUAGUUAGUCGGAGUUUACUCGGACCUUAGUCGGAAGGGUUCGUAGGAAAAAUGUGAUGAGCUUGUAGAAAUGUUUUGAACACGUUUUCGUAUGGUUUUAAGAAGUUUAUAAAGUUUUAAGUAAGGUUUAUUAUUGUUAAAUGUUAAGAUAAAAGGAAAAGGAUACUUGCUUAGGACAGAUGUAAGUAGAAAGCCUUAGUUAAUUCAUUUUUGUGAUUUAGUACUAAUUUAAUAUAUGUAAACAUACCGAUUUAAUUUCAUUAUUAUUUAGUUUCAGAUUGUUGUUAUUUGUGAAUAAAUCUUAAUACUGAAAUCCCAAGCGUGUAUUGUAUUAUUGGAUUAUUGUAUGUUAGCUCCAAGUUAUCGUCGGUCCAAUUGCGGUUGCAAGCUUAGUUAUUAACAUCAAACGCAGAAUUAGGUAAAUACACUAUAGAUAAACACUUAUCUUAAUAAAAUAAAGUAUCUAAAGGCACGCUGUAAACUACAAGUUUUGUGUCUGCUAUUAAAUUGUAUUGUGUCUGUAUUCCGCGCCUACGGCGUCAUAUAGUGGCUUAGAGAUCAUGUCUGCCACUGAAACGUUAGCAGAAUACGCCUUUUCGGGCCUUGCGACGCCAACUUGGCAAGGGGACAAACACAAUAGAGUAACGAGGGGCCCACUGGGACCUCGGGAAAGCAGUAUGUUUUGUGGACCCUCGAACAUCGACGGUCUCGGGUCCACAAAAGACACUGUUUCCCUCGGUCUCAGUAAAUAAUAAUCAGUGAUAAUCGUGUUUUCCUUAUGAAUUAUUAAUGAGUUUUUGAAGUACUAUUUAAAACACGAGUAUAGUGCUUUAUCAGUUAUAAGAAACGAAGCGACAGCCGAGUGUCUUAUAGUCUGGUAAAGCACGGACUGCUAGUAUUUUAAAUGGCUUAAAAACGAAUCUUCUGAGUUCAUUGGCGAAGUAAUUUUAAAAGUGAACCUAGAAAAUUAAAGCUAAAAUUUAUGUAAAUUAACAUCAUGCUUUUUUAUCACAUAUAAACCACCGAAACGAUAGUAAUUUCCUAUGUCUUUUCCUCAAUCAUGAAUUAUCUAUUUUAUUAAAUUAUAAAAUUUUAAACACAAAUAUAGAUCAAAAUCCAAAUUAUACCUUCAGAUACUGCUUAAUAUUAUCUUCUUUCACCAACUUGAUUAACUUUUCUUGUUCUUCAGUCUUCACUUUAUUUUCUUGCAGCCGACUUUGUUCAGUUCCAGAAUGACUCGUGUACCAGGAAAGGGUUGUUUUAUAUACACUCGGGAGGAUUUUUUAAAAGGUUAACAUUGAUAUGAUUGACAUUGACAUUGGUCGUUGGCAGUUCCUACAGCAUGUGAGACGCUAUCCUCUUCCGCAGAUAAACAAUGUAAAGUUUCUUCACAAAUACUAGAUAACGUGUGCGUGAUCAAAGGUUAUAGUCUGAUGUGGACAAUGUCACGUACAUGCACAGGUAUGCGGAUGGAAUUGAAAAAAUUACGUGGGCAAACAAAAAUUUGUCCGACAUUAAUGCCCCCACAAUAUCAUGGGUUCAGAGAUAGAUGAAUAGAAGGUGAAUAGAAGGAACGUAUCUUCUAUACCGACGCGUACAAAUACAAAGUCAAUCUUAAAAUGAUUAUAUUUUCAUAUAUUUACGAGUACUUCUGGGAUUUCUUUUAAGAUACAUCGAAAA